rnacentral:rRNA from 1 species
GAUGAACGCUGGCGGCGUGCCUAAUACAUGCAAGUCGAGCGAACAGACGAGGAGCUUGCUCCUCUGACGUUAGCGGCGGACGGGUGAGUAACACGUGGAUAACCUACCUAUAAGACUGGGAUAACUUCGGGAAACCGGAGCUAAUACCGGAUAAUAUAUUGAACCGCAUGGUUCAAUAGUGAAAGACGGUUUUGCUGUCACUUAUAGAUGGAUCCGCGCCGCAUUAGCUAGUUGGUAAGGUAACGGCUUACCAAGGCAACGAUGCGUAGCCGACCUGAGAGGGGGAUCGGCCACACUGGAACUGGGACACGGUCCAGACUCCUAAGGGAGGCAGCAGUAGGGAAUCGUCCGCAGUGGGCGAAAGCCUGACGGAGCAAGGCCGCGUGAGUGAUGAAGGUCUUCGGAUCGUAAAACUCUGUUAUUAGGGAAGAACCAAUGUGUAAGUAACUAUGCACGUCUUGACGGUACCUAAUCAAAAAGCCACGGCUAACUACGUG